AUUGUGUCACAUUUUAUUUAAGUCAAAUUUGACAAAAUGAUUCAAACUUGUCAAAUUAAUGACAAAUCUGUCAAACUUGAGCAAAAAUUAUUACAAAUAUUUCAACAUUCUUGAAUAUAUACACAGU
rnacentral:miRNA from 1 species